CAGUCGCCACGGGAAUACGUAGGGUGCAAGCGUUAAUCGGAAUUACUGGGCGUAAAGCGUGCGCAGGCGGUUAUAUAAGACAGAUGUGAAAUCCCCGGGCUCAACCUGGGAACUGCAUUAGUGACUGUAUAGCUAGAGUGCGGCAGAGGGGGAUGGAAUUCCGCGUGUAGCAGUGAAAUGCGUAGAUAUGCGGAGGAACACCGAUGGCGAAGGCAAUCCCCUGGGCCUGCACUGACGCUCAUGCACGAAAGCGUGGGGAGCAAACAGGAUUAGAUACCCGAGUAGUCCCUGUCUCUUAUAC
rnacentral:rRNA from 1 species